AGAGUUUGAUCCUGGCUCAGGACUAACGCUGGCGGCGUGCCUAACACAUGCAAGUCGAACGAAGUAGCAAUACUUAGUGGCAGACGGGUGAGUAACACGUAGUCAACCUACCUCUUAGUGGGGGAUAACUAGCCGAAAGGUUAGCUAAUACCGCAUACGAUCGUCGGAAGGCAUCUUCUGACGAUGAAAGGAGCAAUUCG
rnacentral:rRNA from 1 species